rnacentral:rRNA from 1 species
CUGUAGAUGAGGAGAGAAUCCUAAGGCCGACGGGAGAAGCAUUGUUAAGGAACUCGGCAAAAUGACCCCGUAACUUCGGGAGAAGGGGUGCCCACGCGAGUGGGCCGCAGAGAAUAGGCUCAAGCAACUGUUUAGCAAAAACACAGGUCUAUGCGAAACCGAAAGGUGAGGUAUAUGGGCUGACGCCUGCCCGGUGCUGGAAGGUUAAGAGGAGGAGUCAGGCAACGAAGCUCCGAAUUUAAGCCCCAGUAAACGGCGGCCGUAACUAUAACGGUCCUAAGGUAGCGAAAUUCCUUGUCGGGUAAGUUCCGACCCGCACGAAAGGCGUAAUGAUUUGAGCACUGUCUCGACAAUGCACCCGGUGAAAUUGAAGUACCAGUGAAGAUGCUGGUUACCUGCGCCAGGACGGAAAGACCCCAUGGAGCUUUACUCCAGUUUGAUACUGGGAUUCGAUACUGAAUGUACAGGAUAGGUGGGAGGCUGAGAAGCGUGGACGCCAGUCUGCGGUGAGCCGCUGUUGGGAUACCACCCUUUGAGUAUUGGAUUUCUAACCUGCGCCCGUGACCCGGGCGGGGGACAAUGUCUGACGGGGAGUUUGACUGGGGCGGUCGCCUCCGAAAGGGUAUCGGAGGCGCUCAAAGGUUCCCUCAGAAUGGUUGGAAACCAUUCGCAGAGUGCAAAGGCAGAAGGGAGCUUGACUGUGACACCGACGGGUGGAGCAGGUACGAAAGUAGGACUUAGUGAUCCGGUGGUAUGAAAGUGGGAUUGCCAUCGCUCAACGGAUAAAAGCUACCCUGGGAUAACAGGCUUAUCACUCCCAAGAGUUCACAUCGACGGAGUGGUUUGGCACCUCGAUGUCGGCUCAUCGCAUCCUGGGGCUGUAGCAGGUCCCAAGGGUUGGGCUGUUCGCCCAUUAAAGCGGUACGCGAGCUGGGUUCAGAACGUCGUGAGACAGUUCGGUCCCUAUACGGCGCAGGCGUAGGAUAUUUGAGAGGAGCUGUCCUUAGUACGAGAGGACCGGGAUGGACAGACCGCUGGUGUAUCUGAUGGUGACCAACACCAUGGCAGAGUAGCCAAGUCUGGCAGGGAUAAACGCUGAAGGCAUCUAAGCGUGAAGCCCCCCUCAAGAUGAGAUAUCCCAAUAAGUAAGACCCCUUAGAGAGUAUGAGGUAGAUAGGCUUAAGGUGUAAGCAUAGUAAUAUGUUCAGCUGAUAAGUACUAAUAGGUCGAGGGCUUAUC